UACGUAGGGUGCAAGCGUUGUCCGGAAUUAUUGGGCGUAAAGGGCUCGUAGGCGGUCUGUCGCGUCGGGAGUGAAAACUCAGGGCUUAACCCUGAGCCUGCUUCCGAUACGGGCAGACUAGAGGUAUGCAGGGGAGAAUGGAAUUCCUGGUGUAGCGGUGAAAUGCGCAGAUAUCAGGAGGAACACCGGUGGCGAAGGCGGGUCUCUGGGCAGUAACUGACGCUGAGGAGCGAAAGCGUGGGGAGCGAACAGG
rnacentral:rRNA from 1 species